AGCAUUCUAGUUGUCAGUGGACGUGUGGCAGUGAAAUGGGAUGAAUGCUGCAUAUCUGCCAGACUACUAUCAGCACCGUCAUAGGUUAUAAGUUGUUUCGGCGAAGUACAACUUCCACAAAAUGUGAAAGGUUUCCAUUUCGAUGACAGCUGUGUCCAGUCUGGUCAGAUUUAUGUGCAACUGAUGUUGCCAAACAAGACCAAAAAUCUGUUCCAAGAUCGUUGGCGGUAGGCAAAAGAGAAGACAGCAGUUGUGAAAAUUCUCCAUAACCGUCAUCAAAAAAUAUUUAGAGCAUGGAGCGCGGUUAAGCGCUGCAGGUCAAGACGUGUGCGCCUCUAGGACGGAACACCGUCGUUGUCACUUUAAUCUACAGAUAUCCGAAGAACUUGUGUUCCAACCUGCAAGCUUCUCCUUAUAAGCGGUCCGUGACUGCUUAUUCAUUAUUCCCACACUACAUUUUAUGUAUGGACACACGACACUGAUUUCUCUGUGGGGCUAUACUCCAUAUUGGAACAUUUCUGAACAGAACGGCAGUUUACGACAACAGCAGGAUGGACGCAGUCAAUGAAGAGUCAGACCCGUCUUCCUACUACCUGGCGCUUUACGGGCUCAUCUCCUUCCUUCUCGUCAUGCUGAUCGUAAUGUUGCUGUAUGUGGCUUGCUCCAAGAAGUACAGACUCAACUGGUUCGAGAAGAAUCUCCUAGAAGCUGCGGAGACAACGCAGAUGAGACACAGCCAGGAGGCGCUGGUGGGUGUCAGUGGAGUAGGGGCUGGUGAGGA